rnacentral:rRNA from 1 species
AACGAACGCUGGCGGCAUGCCUAACACAUGCAAGUCGAACGAGACCUUCGGGUCUAGUGGCGCACGGGUGCGUAACGCGUGGGAACCUGCCCUUAGGUUCGGAAUAACUCCCCGAAAGGGGUGCUAAUACCGGAUAAUGUCUUCGGACCAAAGAUUUAUCGCCUUUGGAUGGGCCCGCGUUGGAUUAGCUAGUUGGUAGGGUAAAAGCCUACCAAGGCGACGAUCCAUAGCUGGGCUGAGAGGAUGAUCAGCCACACUGGGACUGAGACACGGCCCAGACUCCUACGGGAGGGAGCAGUGGGGAAUAUUGGACAAUGGGCGAAAGCCUGAUCCAGCAAUGCCGCGUGAGUGAUGAAGGCCUUAGGGUUGUAAAGCUCUUUUACCCGGGAUGAUAAUGACAGUACCGGGAGAAUAAGCUCCGGCUAACUCCGUG